rnacentral:rRNA from 1 species
UACGAAGGGUGCAAGCGUUACUCGGAUUUACUGGGCGUAAAGCGUGCGUAGGCGGUUUGUUAAGUCUGUCGUGAAAGCCCCGGGCUCAACCUGGGAAUGGCGAUGGAAACUGGCGAGCUAGAGUACGGUAGAGGAGAGUGGAAUUCCCGGUGUAGCAGUGAAAUGCGUAGAGAUCGGGAGGAACAUCAGUUGCGAAGGCGGCUCUCUGGACCAGUACUGACGCUGAGGCACGAAAGCGUGGGGAGCAAACAGG